GCUCCUGUAGUGUAGUCCGGCCAAUCACCUCGGAUUCUCGAUCCGAAGACCCGGGUUCAAAUCCCGGCGGGAGCA
rnacentral:tRNA from 1 species